UACGAAGGGGGCGAGCGUUGUUCGGAUUUACUGGGCGUAAAGGGCGCGCAGGCGGCUUUGUUUGUCAGGCGUGAAAGCCCCGGGCUUAACCUGGGAACUGCAUUUGUGACUGCACGGCUAGAGUGUGUCAGAGGGGGGUAGAAUUCCACGUGUAGCAGUGAAAUGCGUAGAUAUGUGGAGGAAUACCGAUGGCGAAGGCAGCCCCCCUGGGAUAACACUGACG
rnacentral:rRNA from 1 species